rnacentral:rRNA from 2 species
ACACAUGCAAGUCGAGCGGAGAGAGGUAGCUUGCUACUGAUCUUAGCGGCGGACGGGUGAGUAAUGCUUAGGAAUCUGCCUAUUAGUGGGGGACAACAUUUCGAAAGGAAUGCUAAUACCGCAUACGUCCUACGGGAGAAAGCAGGGGAUCUUCGGACCUUGCGCUAAUAGAUGAGCCUAAGUCGGAUUAGCUAGUUGGUGGGGUAAAGGCCUACCAAGGCGACGAUCUGUAGCGGGUCUGAGAGGAUGAUCCGCCACACUGGGACUGAGACACGGCCCAGACUCCUACGGGAGGCAGCAGUGGGGAAUAUUGGACAAUGGGCGCAAGCCUGAUCCAGCCAUGCCGCGUGUGUGAAGAAGGCCUUAUGGUUGUAAAGCACUUUAAGCGAGGAGGAGGCUACUGAAGUUAAUACCUUCAGAUAGUGGACGUUACUCGCAGAAUAAGCACCGGCUAACUCUGUGCCAGCAGCCGCGGUAAUACAGAGGGUGCAAGCGUUAAUCGGAUUUACUGGGCGUAAAGCGCGCGUAGGCGGCUAAUUAAGUCAAAUGUGAAAUCCCCGAGCUUAACUUGGGAAUUGCAUUCGAUACUGGUUAGCUAGAGUGUGGGAGAGGAUGGUAGAAUUCCAGGUGUAGCGGUGAAAUGCGUAGAGAUCUGGAGGAAUACCGAUGGCGAAGGCAGCCAUCUGGCCUAACACUGACGCUGAGGUGCGAAAGCAUGGUGGAGCAAACAGGAUUAGAUACCCUGGUAGUCCAUGCCGUAAACGAUGUCUACUAGCCGUUGGGGCCUUUGAGGCUUUAGUGGCCCCAGCUAACACGAUAACUAGACCGCCCUGGGG